UACGUAGGGCGCAAGCGUUGUCCGGAAUCAUUGGGCGUAAAGAGCUCGUAGGUGGUCUGUUACGUCUGCUGUGAAAUCCUAGGGCUUAACCCUGGGCCUGCAGUGGAUACGGGCAGACUAGAGGUAGGUAGGGGAGAAUGGAAUUCCCGGUGUAGCGGUGAAAUGCGCAGAUAUCGGAAGGAACACCUGUGGCGAAAGCGGCUCACUGGACCAUUACUGACGCUGAGGCACGAAAGCUAGGGGAGCAAACAGG
rnacentral:rRNA from 1 species